ACGGGGGGGGCCAGCGUUGUUCGGAAUUACUGGGCGUAAAGGGCGCGUAGGCGGCCUUCUAAGUCAGACGUGAAAUCCCUCGGCUCAACCGGGGAACUGCGUCUGAUACUGGGAGGCUUGAAUCCGGGAGAGGGAUGCGGAAUUCCAGGUGGUGCGGUUAAAUGGGGUGGUAACUUGAGGAACACCGGGGGGCAAGGGGGCAACCUGGACCGGCAUUGACGCUGAGGCGCGAAAGCCAGGGGAGCAAACGG
rnacentral:rRNA from 1 species